GCUUUCUCCAUCAGACUGUGAACUCCUGAGUAUAUUCUAGAUACCUAAACCUUAAUCUUCCCUGAGUGAAGAACAACUUACUAUGAAGUGACCUACAAUAGCAACACUCAGAAUUCUCUCAAAUCACAUUGGGCAGUGCAAUCAGCUCUCAGGUAUCUGCUUGAGAACUAGCUACAGAAAAUAAGGAAACAAAGAUUGAAACAAAAAUGCCCUACACAACAUGAAGGACCUGUAUGCUUACAGAGGGUGAGGUGUCAAAGUAAGGAAUUCCUGGACAAACUUCAAGACUA